rnacentral:rRNA from 1 species
CCUACGGGAGGCAGCAGUGGGGAAUCUUGCGCAAUGGGCGAAAGCCUGACGCAGCCAUGCCGCGUGAAUGAUGAAGGUCUUAGGAUUGUAAAAUUCUUUCACCGGGGACGAUAAUGACGGUACCCGGAGAAGAAGCCCCGGCUAACUUCGUGCCAGCAGCCGCGGUAAUACGAAGGGGGCUAGCGUUGCUCGGAAUUACUGGGCGUAAAGGGAGCGUAGGCGGAUAGUUUAGUCAGAGGUGAAAGCCCAGGGCUCAACCUUGGAAUUGCCUUUGAUACUGGCUAUCUUGAGUGUGGGAGAGGUAUGUGGAACUCCGAGUGUAGAGGUGAAAUUCGUAGAUAUUCGGAAGAACACCAGUGGCGAAGGCGACAUACUGGCCCAUUACUGACGCUGAGGCUCGAAAGCGUGGGGAGCAAACAGGAUUAGAUACCCUGGUAGUCCACGCUGUAAACGAUGAGUGCUAGUUGUCGGCAGGCAUGCCUGUCGGUGACGCAGCUAACGCAUUAAGCACUCCGCCUGGGGAGUACGGUCGCAAGAUUAAAACUUAAAGGAAUUGACGG